rnacentral:rRNA from 1 species
UACGUAGGGUGCAAGCGUUGUCCGGAAUUAUUGGGCGUAAAGAGCUCGUAGGCGGUUUGUCGCGUCGAAUGUGAAAACCCGGGGCUCAACCCCGGGCCUGCAUUCGAUACGGGCAGACUAGAGUUCGGUAGGGGAGUCUGGAAUUCUCGGUGUAGCGGUGAAAUGCGUAGAUAUCGAGAGGAACACCUGCGGCGAAGGCGGGUUGCUGGGCUGAUACUGACGCUGAGGCGCGAAAGCCAGGGGAGCGAACGGG